UACGGAGGGUCCAAGCGUUAUCCGGAAUUACUGGGCGUAAAGCGUUGCGUAGGUGGCAAAGUAAGCAGUGUGUGAAAUUGUGUGGCUCAACCACUCAUCCAUACGCUGAACUGCUUAGCUUGAGAGUGGAAGAGGUUGCUAGAAUUCCUGGUGUAGGGGUGAAAUCCGUAGAUAUCAGGAGGAAUACCGAUGGCGUAGGCAGGCAACUGGUCCAUUUCUGACACUAAUGCACGAAAGCGUGGGGAGCGAUCGGG
rnacentral:rRNA from 1 species